GUGUCUCGCUCCAAUUUAUAGGAGGGAGAGGAGGUUCUUUGAAAUAUGUAUGCCCGGCGUGAGAUUAAGAAACAACGGUUCAAAUGUUGGUCCGACCAGUUUAUUACAAAUGUUAAUAAGGGAGAUGGGGAAAGGGGAGGACGGACGCUAUUAAGGAUUGGGGUGGUGGGGAAGGGAAGGCAAGCGAUAGAAAAGAUAGAAAGAGGCAAGAAUUGCGUAAAGCGGGGAUAGUCACCACCAGGAUCCGGCAGCAGUCCCGUUGCACGACGUUCCGACGGUCCGAGGCCGAAGGGCAGGAGCAGCGAGGGGGGUCUUGGGCAACGAGAGGGUGCAGGUCGGGGAGGAAGCAGCAGGUCUCAGGUAGCAGGCCCAGGGAAGUCCGUCAGCAAACGGUCCGUAGAGAAGGAUCUGAAGGCAGGAAGCUCGUGUCGUGGUGAGAGAUCAGUCUCCACGUAGAGAUCCGUCUCCACGUAGAGAUCCGUCUCCACAUUGCGGUGAAGGAUCAGACGGCAGAGAACCCCUCAAGUCUGUCGUGGUGAGAGAUCAGCCUCUGCCGUUGCCGUGGUUGUGGUGAAGGAUCAGCUUCCACCGUUGUGGUUAUUGGACCCUCUUUUAUCCUCCAUUUUCUGCUGCCUACGUGACAUUCCUGGGUGCUUGAGCAAGAGUCCUGUGCAUACCUCCUGAGAUGGCCAUUUUCCUUGAGAUAAGUCCACACAAAAAGACCGCUUCCCGGCCAUUAGCGGCAGCUUAUCUCUCUCUCGAUGCCCCUGGCCUUGUCCAUCUGUGCUCCUUAGAGGAUUUCACAAUCCUUAGCCAGGACCUGUCCAUCAGUGUCCUCAAGACAAAAGAUUUCUCUGCCUUUGCCCAGGACUUGCCUGGACUUGUUCCUCAGCAAACUUUGAGUCAAUGAUAUAAAAGAAUAGCCUCUUACAACGCGUUAGACCCUUCCCCUACUCUGGGUGGAGCUAUGACGUGUGUACACUGUAGUAGGCGUGCACAAAGGGCAUAGGUAUAUAAGUGUGUGUGAGGUUCAAUAAAUCGCCAUUUGCUGAUCAUCAUAUCGGUGUCACCGCAGUGAAUGGCCAAGCUGUGUCCCUCGGAGGAGGACGAGCGGUAACCACUGCAACACUACAGCCCCAUCUCGUAGCCAUCCCAUAUCCAUAUCCCAUCCCAUAUCCCAUCCUGUAUCCAUAACCCUUCCAAUAUCCAAACCCUCAUAUCCAUCCAACAACCAUAGCCCAAAUCCAUCCCAUAUCCAUAUCCCAAAUCCAUCCCGUAUCCAUAUCCCAAAUCCAUCCCAUAUCCAUAUCCCAAAUCCAUCCCGUAUCCAUAGCCCAUCCCAUAUCCGUAUCCCAUCCCAUAUCUCAUCCCGUAUCCAUAUCCCAUCCCAACUCCAUGCCAAAUCUCUUUCUAUAUCCACAUCACCUUAUCCAUCCCAUAACCACCCCAAAUCCAUCUCAAAUCCAUAUCUCACCCCAGACCGAUCCCAUCUCCUUAUCCAUCCCAUAUCAAUGUCCCAUCCCUUAUCCAAUCCCAUACCCCAUCCUAAAGCCAUCCCACAUCCAUACCCGCACAUCCCAUAUCCUAUCCCCAUCCUGUACCCCAUGUCCCAUAUCCAUUUCCAUCCCACAGCCUCCCCGAAUCCAUAUCCCCGCAUCCAUCCCGUGUCCACCCCAUAUCCAUUCCGUAUACUUAUCCCAUCCUAUGAUCAACCCAAUCCCAUCCCAUAUCCAUAUCCUGUCCCAACUCUACCCCAUAUCAUUCCCAUACCUUUGCCAAGUCUGUCCCGUACCCGUAUACCCACUUCCCGCAUCCCAAUCCCAACCCCAAUCCCAAUCCCAAUCCCAAUUCCACACCUCAUUCCCAAUCCCACAUGCCAAUCCCGUAUCCCGCAUCCCAAUCCCUAUCCCGAAUCCCAAUGCCAAUCCCACAUCCCAGCCCCAUGUACCAUGUGUCAAUCCAUCGCAAUCCCAAAUCUCAUAUCCCAGUCCUAACCCCAAUCCCACACCCCCAAUCCCAAUCCCACACCCCCAAUCCCAAUCCCAAUCCCAAUCCCAUCCCCUAUUGCAAUAGGGCACACUCCGGGCUCCUCCCGCAGCUCCGUCCCGCCCCCAUCUUCUCAUUGGCUGAGGUGCAGCUCCGUCCCGGCCCCAGACUCUCAUUGGCUGAACUGCAUUUCCAUCCCGCUCCCAGCCUCUCAUUGGUCAGGUGCAGCUCCGUCCCGCCGCCGGCCUCUCAUUGGCGGACGCGCAGCCCAGUCCCGCCCCCAUCCUCUCAUUGCUCAGCGGCAGCGCCGCCG
ensembl:lncRNA